rnacentral:tRNA from 1 species
GGGACGUUAACUCAGUAGGUAGAGUAGCGGGCUUUUAACCCGACGGUCGUGGGUUCGACUCCCACACGUCCCA